UGGAAUUCUUCUGAGGGAUUGAUGG
rnacentral:piRNA from 1 species